AAGUGACAUGGUUGUUUAAGAAGUUCGAUCCUGGCAUUUGCUUGACCAAGUCCCAAGCCCAGGAGAAGCAAGCACUCAGUCACGCAAACCAGCACCCAAGGGGUGUGGGGGCAGCGGCCUGGCCCGUGUGCAGGACCUCCCUGCACACCUGCCUCCGACAGCCCACCUCACCAGCGAGCGCUGUGUCCAACAAGGAAGGUGGAGAGAGCAAGUGCGCUGCAGGGUAGGAGCCGGGGCCGCUCAGCCUCAGCGGGCGCCCCCAUCCGUCAGGGACCUCCCGUCCUUCCCCGGGCAGAGCUUACUGCGCACUGGUGGAAAGGGCGGAGAAGCACCCCCCUGGCGCCACCAGGAUGGAGCAGGGUAGGAGGGGAGCCCACGGGGGCGGGGGGACAGGAGAUGGAGUUUAAGGCACACAGCAAACGACAGAAGAGGGGUCUGCCGGCCUUCCCCAGGACAGAAAGGCCCCUCCACUCUCCAACUUCACUCACCCCGGAACUCCUGGCCCCGGCUCAGGUACACCUACGUCCUCCCUUGCUCCAUCUUCUUCCCAGCUCCCCAAAGCGCCAGGUGGUCAGGGAGAUGAAGGGAUGGGAAGAGGACGGUUCUGGGGCCAGUACUGUGACGGGAGCGCCAGCCCCAGGCCUACUGAAAGGCCACCUGGUGAACCUCUCUGGGUCACCUCAAAAGCUUACACCAUCUUGCAUUUAAAAAGCAGGGCAGGGAAAGUAAAAGGAGCCUCCCCGGUCUUCUCUGCUUUCUGCCCACCCGACUGGAAGUCCCCUUGCUUCCAGGUCCCCAGGGUACAGCCCCCCACCUUUCAGGGUCCUCCACCCUUGUCAUUUCAGCAGGUUCAGGACCCUAGAAUGUAGGGAGGGAUGAAGAGUGUCCCACUGUGCCUUGGUCUGCCCAUCUCCCUGUGCUGCUCCCAAGUGGGAGGGGGGAGGAGAGAGGAAUACAAAGUGAAAGCAGAAACCAAAACCAAAACCAAACCACGGGUUCACAAAUCAGGAACGAGACCUGCCUGCUGGCUCCACGGUGGGCCUGGCGUCCGCUCCCACGGAGGAGGGCAGCAGGAAGCUACUGGGGCUCCUGCCCCGCACGGCGGAGGGCUGGCUGGGCCCGGGACACGUGCAGCCUGCCUGAGGACAGGUCCAAAGUCCCUCCCGGUCUCGGAGCCGCCCUCGGAGCCUCUCUCGAGCGUUCUCCUCGCUCACGGCACCUACUUCUAGGUCUUCUCCUCCCGGUCUGUUUUUCUCCUUGUUAUGUUCCUAGGUUUGAUUUUCAGAGAAAGUUCCCACAGGGCCUCCUCCGCCAGGUGGUCGCUGAAGUCAUUGAAGAAGUUUAUGAUGUCAUCAUUUCUUCGGAUAUCGUAGUGCCUGUGGGGGGCCUCCAGUCAGGGCCGGUGUGGGGCCAGCAGCCCGACGGCCUCCUGGAGGGGCCAUGCGCACGGUCCCGGCACCGGAGCUCCCCAUAGGCAGAGGGCUGGCAGCAGAAGCCUGGUCGCCCCUCUCCAUGCUGUCCCAAGGAGCCCCCACUUCUUGGCCCACGCCCUGCACCCUCCCUGGAUGUGCUGUGUGGAGAACAAGCUGGCCACCAUCUCUGGAUGCAGACCCCGUUCCACAGACCCUAGUGUUCCUUCGUUCCCUCCCCGCUCCGGUACUCACGCUUGCUGGAAGCACCGCAUGCUGUCCAGAAUGUUGAACUGCUGCCACCGUUUGGAAAAAUUCACCUUCCCGUCAAUAUAGUCUGGGUUCCCCAGGUGAACAAAGGUGAGGUCCUGCAGGAUAAGCCCCCUGGGAGAAUGGAGAAGCCCAGUUACUGCUUCGGAGGGCACGUCUGGCCUGUGUUGGUCUCUUCCUGCGUGAACUCCUGACCUAGAAACUGUGGGUCCCUGGGAAAGCCAGCUCAGGUACGGCAGGGGAGCCUUGUAAAAUACAUGAAUAGGAAAAAAUAACCCAAAACCAGGGGGGAGGGAGGCAUGGACAGCCUCUUUGUUAACAGGUGCUUCUCAUUACAGAGAACGUGAAGCCAUAAGGUGAGCGAGGGGGCCCAGCCGGCCACCCCCAGGGGAAAGCAGGGUAGCAUUCUGGGAGGGCAGCCCCCACCCCGGGCCACUGUGGAGUCUUCUGCCCCCCUCAUGGAGGUUCCCAGUAUCUACCAGCUUAGCAAGGGCUCUGACAACAAAGAAACCUGUCUAGCUUUGACUUUUUCCACUAUUUCCUUCAGCUAAUGUGACUAGGACUGCUUUCCCCAAACCCCCCAUUUCCUCGAUGCCAUGGCUCACACUUGGGGAAACGCUCUCAGGGCUCCUGGGUGACUGACUGCAAGGUGCAGCCAAGUCUGAGGACCCUUGGUGGGGGGAAGCCUGGCAGAUGCGGGAAGGAAACGGCAGCGGGACUGGGAGAUGGGACAGCAGGACCGUUUACAUUGGACCCUUCCUUUCUGUUUUAAAAGUAAAACCUGCUCCUUGUUACAUAGUUUAAAGUUAAAAUAGAAGUCUAAUCGUCUGAGCUGGAAACCUUUAAGGGAGGGUUUCUGUAUCUACACCUAUGUCUCCCCCAGAGCAGCCGGGGGGCAAACCUGCAGGGAGCUCUACUCACAGGUAGGGGAUGCAGGGGGGCUCCACCUCGGAGAGGGCGGCCCGGUAGGCGCGGAAGGAGGACGAGCUGUCGAUCAGUGUACAGUACUCGGCCAGGCCCUGGGCGGGAGGGAUAGUGUGUGAGGGCUGAGACCAUGCUGGGGCCCCAGUGCCAGCCUCCUCCCUGACCCACCCGCCGCUGCCCAGCCCUGGGCCCUGCCUCGGCUACAGGGAGACCGGGCCUGCUGCGGAGAACUGGCUCCCAGGCCCGCAUAUGCCUGCUGCAGAACCACGGCUCGGAGGGCCUGGAGCCAGGCCUCUUGCUGGGUGCCACCCCACACUGUAGCCCAAGGAAGCUUCUCACGCACACCAGGAAUGGUGCCAUCCCUGGCUCCCAGCCUGCCUUUGAUCCUCGCUGCGCUCCAGGCAGAGCUGACUAGGCUUAGCAGGUGACCUCACUGAGCUGCUGCUGCCCCCUCCCACCCGCUGCUUGCCUCUUCACCUUUUAGCUGCCUCGGACCAGGAGUGUCACCUCCUCAGGACCUCCUAGGUGUUUCUGUGGCAGCCAGUGUGAAUGUCCCAUGCUUCUCCAUACAACAGACUUACAACUUUCUCUUUAUGUCACCCCUUAAGAGAACACCUGGGUGGCCCAGCUAACACCCAGCCCCUAUGGGCUUUGCCUCUCUUCUCAAGGAACCUCCCCACACAAGGAUAAAGGUCUAGUUCCUUGCCAGGCCUCCCCAAAGCCCUCCUGGUCCAGAGCAGGUCCCCUCCCCAGUGACACAGCCACACUGGCCCCCGCCCUGCUGCUUGAGCGUGCCAGUUUCUAGACGCUUCUGUCCCCUCUGACCGGAAUUCCCUUUCUUCCCAGCAAACUCUUCCUAUUUGGGUCUUGGUGUGAUUGACCAUCCCUCAGGGGACCUCCCCGACCCUCGAACGGGCCAGACGACCCCAUCCUUUCCCCUUUGGCAAUUACCCUAAAGAAAUCAAUAGGUCUGUCCUGUUCACAGUACGUUCCUAAGGACUAAUGCUGCUGGCAGCCCAGAACAGCACCUCCAGAAGCAUGGGUGCAAGGAAGGAAGGAAGAAAGCAGUGAAGCAGGGACCCAGGUAUGAUCCUGCAGCCCAGGCAGCAGGACCCUGUGAGGGGACAAGCCCAGCACAAACCACGCAGCCCCUUCAGGCCCAAAGACUGGAGAUUAGCCACAGCAAACGGGGGUGGGGUUGGGGGGUGGUUGGCAGCUGAGCAGACACCUGAGCACCUUCCCCAACAGCUGGCUCUCCAGGGGCUCGGCAGGCCUCCCACCUCCUCCCUCCCCACCACUCACCUCCGAGGUCUGCUUCUGCCACUCCAGCCUGCGGAUGGGAGCCGAGUCCAGGGCUGAGAGAAUGGCCAGGUAGGAGUUAAAGUUGUUCAGCUUCCGUAAGUGCUGCAGAGAGAGGGGAGGCGGCCGUGAGGCAGGCCCAGGGCUGCUGGGCAGGGUCCGAAGGAGGAGACUCUGGGGAGGACAGCCACGGUUACCUUCAUGAUCUUGAUGAACUUCAACAGCAGCCGCUCCCUGUCCUGGGCUUUUUCUUGUAACAUGAUUAUUGACCGGACCCUGCAGGAACCCAUGGGAAAAAGAGAUGGCUGAACUGACUGGUCUCCUUCUAGACCCCUAGGUGGUCCUAGUGGAGAGAGAGGGAUGUGGACACCUGCACCACAUGCCCAGGGCUUUUGAGGUGUCAAGCAUAGCUCCCCCCAUUUCUGCUCUCGAGGAGCUCACAGCAUUCCAGGGAUGGGCUGAGAGGUCACAAAGCCUGAUGGGGACCUCGGGCCGUGCGUGCAGAUGGAGGCUUUAUAACAUCCAAGCAGAGAUUCCCUGACAAGUGCUGACCUGAGCACCCUUGGGGCUGGAAAUGCUCCUCACGUGGCCUCAGGAUUAGUUCAGGAGACGAGUGAGCAUGUGGGUUAGGAGGGCACAUUGAGAAUCUGAGCAGCAACCCCAAGGCCAGCCUUGCACGCGGACCUCACCGUGCCCUGGAGACCCUCUGGCUUCACACGGCCACGGCCACGGCCAGUCCCCUCAGACGGGGUGCUGCCUCUGCUUGUCCUUUGGCCCCAGUGAAGGGUGCCUGCCCUGAGCACACCCUGAGGACCAUGGCUCAGAGGGGCCCCCCUGCACCUCCUCCUUGGAACCCCGAGGCGUGUGCCCAGCAGGGGGCUGGGUCGGAGGCUGGGCUCAGGGCCGUGUGCAGUUUCCGUCUGCCCUACAAGCCCCUGCUUCCUGUGGCGGCUUGCUACCGCUGAGCUCACGCUGCUGAGGAGCGCGGCACUUCCUGUGGUGGCAGAAAAGCCGGCAACGUGGGACAUGACCCAGGUUCCCUCCAACAAGCAGUCCUCGGAGCGUCUGACACAUCUUGGAUGUUCCGUCAGUGGCAGCAGUGGGCUUCGUGGCUACCACGCUCUGACCAUCCUCUGUUUGACGCAGAGAGGCUGGGGGCGCCUUGAAGUCACAUCUCAAAAAGCUGACCAUUCUUUACAUAUUAUAGGGCAGCAUCCGUGUGAGGCUCAGCCCUGAGGCCGCCUGGCAGCGGGAAGCUGGGCCGUGACCAGCUCAGGAUGGCGCAGUGACCACCCCUGCCAGCACCUAUGGCAGACAUUACUAAUCGAUCCCGGCUCUCCUCCCCGUCCCAGGCUCCUCCUCAGCCAGCGUGCUCUCUGCUGCCUGCAGUUCCCAAGUAAUGCCCAGGGUCUCGGAAGGAGCUAGGAGGAAAAGGGCACCUCCUCCUUGUGUGAAGGAGAGCACAGGGACCCAGCCAGACGUGCUGCGAUAGAAAACCGGGGCUUCGCACAGCCGCCCCUUCUUACCAGUAGGACAUAUUGUUGAAGUGCUCCGUGAACUGGGUCAAGUUGGGGCUUUUCUCCUCAUUCUGCUCUUUUGCCCAAAGCAAAACCUCAGGAAUCUGAAAGAGAAGUAGACCGGAUGGAGCUGGAGCCCUCUGGCUUCCCGACGAUGGGCAGGUUCUCCUGCUUAGGGACCAGCAGCAGCUGCUCACCCCGGGGCAAGGGACAGCCUUCUUCCCAGCGCUGCUCAACACCAUACCUCUAUUUUAUAAAAGAGCUCAGCAUCCAGCAGGGUCAGCUGCUCGGCUAUUUCAUGGCUGUGAAAGUCAUGCAAAGUCCCCGGCCUAGAAGACAGAGGCAUGAGAUGAGCGGUGGGGACAGGGACAGUGGGAGCUGGCUGGGCGCCGUCCUGCGGCCUCAGAGCCGGGCAGCCAGAGCGAGCAGCCGCCCCAAGCCCGGCCUCACGGCAGGACGACGGCAGCUUCAGAGCUGACCAGUGGCAGGUCAGGACCAGACUGCAUUCCUACUGGGGACCGUGGUGCCUCUGCCGGGUGGGUCCCACUGCCUGAGGACUCAGCCUGACCCCAUGGCCGGGGCCCAGCGGGAACAGAGAUGGCUCCCCAGGGAUGAAGACUGAAACUCGCUGACAAGGAAGUAAUGCUUCAACAUCUAUGACUAGGACACAGGAUGUUCUUCCGGAGCACGCGGGCCAGGCUGAGCUCCCCGUUGCACACCAAGCGGAAGACCAGCUCCAUCAGCAGCUUCAAGAUCUCUUCUGUCAACUCCACGAGGCUAGAGGACCAACGGCCACACAGUGAGGGGCCGGGACACAGCCCAGGAAGAGGACGGCUGCCAUCGGGCCCAGAAUCCACCUCAGAAUACCCAAGGGUCACAUGGCACCGACCAGCAGGGCUAGGAAACCUCUUCAGGGAAAAGAGCAAGAAAAGGUGUCGGGAUGGCCACCCGGAGCCUCAAAAGUGCCAGGAGAGGUCCCGUCCUGCUGGUGACACGAAUGGCCCCGCUCUCAGUAAAUGCUCGCUGGCACUGGACAAGCUCCAGGGCCCCCAUUUGGGCCCGGAGCCACGGAGACACUCCCACUCCGAUCCUGUCCCAGAGGAGGCCCCUGGUCCUGCCUGGGUGAUGAAUCACUACGAGGCCCCAGCCCCUCAGAGCAGCCGCCUGCAGGCCGCUCCUGAACUCCCUCUGCACAGCGCUUUCUGUGCCCGGCGGUCUCAGUGCUGUCCCGGGCUGAGGCCAUCCUCCCCGCAGAAGGGAAGUGCCUUGAAGGCAGGGCCCACAGUUUCCUUCACCACGGCUCUCCAGACCUAGGAGACUGAGCGGCUGGACGUGCGCUUGUUAAGUGAAUGGUGACGGGCCAUCUGCAACUCUGAAAAAUGGUGCUCUCGGGUUCAGUGCGGCUGGAGGCAGAACCCGUGGGCUCAAGUUGCUUGGUGCAGACGCCGUUUGCUACCAGGUGUUCAACUACAAAACCCAUCACCCCCUGCUUAACCCGUGGGGAGAUCUUAGCCCGGGCAGACGGAUCAGGCAGACUCCACAUGGAUAGCACCUAGGACUGGCCACCAGCAGGCUGGGUGGGCAGCCCUCUACAGCAGUUCCCUACAGAAUGAAUGCUUUCUGUUUUUAUUCCUGUCUCUUGCUAUUUUAUUUUUACCACCUCUUCAACCACUUAUGCUUAGGCCUGACAAGUGGGUACUGCCUGGCUCUGUGCCUAGAACCCCAGAGGUAGCUGAACCUUGGCCUGGAGAGGGAGGAAAAGCUUGAACUUGUAGAACAGUUCACUAAGAAGGUGACGUCAACACGAAGUUGCGGAUGGCAAGGUGGAUCUGCAGGCCCUACACAUGGAGAAAUUUACUACAUAUUUCUAAACCUGGUCAGGUGUGACUUGUGCUAAUACUGAAAAAUGUUACAAAAGAUUAAAGAGACAUACAACUAAAUGUA